UGACCACUUUUUAAACACUUAAGUGUCUAUUUCACUUGAUUCAAUUAGUUUAUGUGAAAGAUUUUAUCUGAUUAAGUCAUUAAAAACGAUCCGAUUGAAGCUCAAAUAUGAAAAAUCUCUCAAAUAUGCCAAAAAACGUCACUUUUCAGAUUGUUUUUGUCAAAAAUGAAAGUGGCCGCAUCCGUGUUCAUCCACAAUAUUUAUAUAUGUUAUGUAUUAUCAUAAAAUACAACUUACAUUGCAAUAUUAAGGAUGAACACGAAUGCGGCCACUUUCGUUUUACACGGAAACCGUCUAAAAUUUAACUAAAAUGAUAGAAUUUUGAAGAUUUCAGUAAUUUAGCAUGACUUGAUGGUGCUACAACCCGAUAUAAGUGCAUUGUAUUGUCAAAAACAGCCCAUUUUUAUGUAGCAGAAGCAUUCAUCUGUCCAAUAAAUAACUAAAAGUUUACAUUUUAACAAUUUUGUAAAACUGUUAUAUUUUUGGGCCAAAAAGGGGCCUUACCGGACCUACUCCUUUCAUU
rnacentral:lncRNA from 1 species